rnacentral:sRNA from 1 species
AUAAUUCUGCAUGUGGGAAGGAUGAAAGCUUCGACUGAGUUCGAUUCGAGCGCAGCGAGAAGAGCGUUACUGCGUGCAACGACCCGAAGAGCGGCGCGCGCAGCGCUGGUAAUCCCCUUCCCCCACCACCA